UUCCCCUAGUAACGGCGAGUGAAGCGGGAUGAGCUCAAAUUUAAAAUCUGGCAGUCUUUGAUUGUCCGAGUUGUAAUCUAGAGAAGCGUUUUCCGCGCUGGACUGUGUACAAGUUUCCUGGAUACGGAACAUCAUAGAGGGUGAGAAUCCCGUCCUUGACACAGACUCCCAGUGCUCUGCGAUGCGCUCUCGACGAGUCGAGUUGUUUGGGAUUGCAGCUCAAAAUGGGAGGUAAAUUCCUUCUAAAGCUAAAUAUUGGCGAGAGACCGAUAGCGAACAAGUACCGUGAGGGAAAGAUGAAAAGCACUUUGGAAAGAGAGUUAAACAGUACGUGAAAUUGUUAAAAGGGAAACGAUUGAAGUCAGUCGCGUUUGCUUGGACUCAGCCUUACUUCGGUAUGGUGCAUUUCCUUGCGAACGGGCCAGCGUCCAUGUUGUCCGUCGGAAAAGGUGCGUGGGAAUGUGGCUUCUUCGGGAGUGUUAUAGCCCAUGUUCGUAUACGGCGUGUGAUAUGGAGUGGUACAGCAUGCUUCGGCGGUGCUUGUGCUGGCAUAAUGGCUUUAAACGACCCGUCUUGAAACACGGACCAAGGAGUCUAACAUGUCUGCGAGUGUUUGGGUGGAAAACCCGAGCGCGCAAUGAAAGUGAUAGCUGGGAACCCCUUACGGGAGGCACCGGCGCCCCGAGCUGACCUUCUGUGACGCAUCGGAGGUAGAGCAUAUAUGUUGGGACCCGAAAGAUGGUGAACUAUGCCUGAAUAGGGCGAAGCCAGAGGAAACUCUGGUGGAGGCUCGUAGCGAUUCUGACGUGCAAAUCGAUCGUCAAAUUUGGGUAUAGGGGCGAAAGACUAAUCGAACCAU
rnacentral:rRNA from 1 species